AACGAACGCUGGCGGCAUGCCUAACACAUGCAAGUCGAACGAGACCUUCGGGUCUAGUGGCGCACGGGUGCGUAACGCGUGGGAACCUGCCCUUAGGUUCGGAAUAACUCCCCGAAAGGGGUGCUAAUACCGGAUAAUGUCUUCGGACCAAAGAUUUAUCGCCUUUGGAUGGGCCCGCGUUGGAUUAGCUAGUUGGUAGGGUAAAAGCCUACCAAGGCGACGAUCCAUAGCUGGUCUGAGAGGAUGAUCAGCCACACUGGGACUGAGACACGGCCCAGACUCCUACGGGAGGCAGCAGUGGGGAAUAUGGGACAAUGGGCGAAAGCCUGAUCCAGCAAGGCCGCGUGAGUGAUGAAGGCCUUAGGGUUGUAAAGCUCUUUUACCCGGGAUGAUAAGGACAGUACCGGGAGAAUAAACUCCGGCUAACUCCGU
rnacentral:rRNA from 1 species